rnacentral:rRNA from 1 species
GACGAACGCUGGCGGCGUGCUUAACACAUGCAAGUCGAACGAAGUGGCGAACGGGUGAGUAACGCGUAAUCAACCUGCCCUUCAUAGGGGGACAACAGUUGGAAACGACUGCUAAUACCGCAUACUGAAGGAGGGGAUUGCGUGUGAUUUGCUAGUUGGAGGGGUAACGGCCCACCAAGGCGAUGAUCAGUAGCCGGUGUGGUAGGGUGAGCGGGCACAUUGGGACUGAGACACGGCCCAGACUCCUACGGGAGGCAGCAGUGGGGGAUAGUCCGAAAUGGAAGAAAGACUGACGGAGAAACGCCGAGGGAGUGAUGACGGCCUUCGGGUUGUAAAGCGCUUUUAAUCGGGACGAGGUACCGGAAUAGAAAGCCACGGCUAACUACGUGCCAGCAGCCGCGGUAAUUC